rnacentral:rRNA from 1 species
ACUCCUACGGGAGGCAGCAGUGGGGAAUAUUGCACAAUGGGCGCAAGCCUGAUGCAGCCAUGCCGCGUGUGUGAAGAAGGCCUUCGGGUUGUAAAGCACUUUCAGUUGUGAGGAAGGUGGUGUCGUUAAUAGCGGCAUCAUUUGACGUUAGCAACAGAAGAAGCACCGGCUAACUCCGUGCCAGCAGCCGCGGUAAUACGGAGGGUGCGAGCGUUAAUCGGAAUUACUGGGCGUAAAGCGCAUGCAGGUGGUUUGUUAAGUCAGAUGUGAAAGCCCGGGGCUCAACCUCGGAACUGCAUUUGAAACUGGCAGACUAGAGUACUGUAGAGGGGGGUAGAAUUUCAGGUGUAGCGGUGAAAUGCGUAGAGAUCUGAAGGAAUACCGGUGGCGAAGGCGGCCCCCUGGACAGAUACUGACACUCAGAUGCGAAAGCGUGGGGAGCAAACAGGAUUAGAUAC